CAAGUCGAACGGAGAUAUCAUUUUCGAAGCGAUUAGUUUACUAAGAGUGGAGAUGUUGAUAUCUUAGUGGCGGACGGGUGAGUAACGCGUGGGUAACCUGCCUUACACUGGGGGAUAACACUUAGAAAUAGGUGCUAAUACCGCAUAAUGAGAGGAGACGCAUGUCUUCUGUCUGAAAACUCCGGUGGUGUAAGAUGGACCCGCGUCUGAUUAGCCAGUUGGCGGGGUAACGGCCCACCAAAGCGACGAUCAGUAGCCGGCCUGAGAGGGUGAACGGCCACAUUGGGACUGAGACACGGCCCAAACUCCUACGGGAGGCAGCAGUGGGGAAUAUUGGACAAUGGGGGGAACCCUGAUCCAGCGACGCCGCGUGAGUGAAGAAGUAUUUCGGUAUGUAAAGCUCUAUCAGCAGGGAAGAAAGAAAUGACGGUACCUGACUAAGAAGCCCCGGCUAACUACGUGCCAGCAGCCGCGGUAAUACGUAGGGGGCAAGCGUUAUCCGGAUUUACUGGGUGUAAAGGGAGCGUAGACGGCAGUGCAAGUCUGAAGUGAAAGGCGGGGGCCCAACCCCCGGACUGCUUUGGAAACUGUGCUGCUGGAGUGCAGGAGAGGCAAGUGGAAUUCCUAGUGUAGCGGUGAAAUGCGUAGAUAUUAGGAGGAACACCAGUGGCGAAGGCGGCUUGCUGGACUGUAACUGACGUUGAGGCUCGAAAGCGUGGGGAGCAAACAGGAUUAGAUACCCUGGUAGUCCACGCCGUAAACGAUGAUCACUAG
rnacentral:rRNA from 1 species